rnacentral:rRNA from 1 species
AGUGAACGCUGGCGGCAGGCUUAACACAUGCAAGUCGAACGCACCGCAAGGUGAGUGGCAGACGGGUGAGUAACGCGUGGGAACCUUCCCUUUGGUUCAGGAUAGCUCCGGGAAACUGGAAUUAAUACUGGAUAAGAUCUACGGAUGAAAGAUUUAUCGCCGAAGGAUGGGCCCGCGUAAGAUUAGCUAGUUGGAGAGGUAAAAGCUCACCAAGGCGACGAUCUAUAGCUAGUCUGAGAGGAUGAUCAGCCACACUGGAACUGAGACACGGUCCAGACUCCUACGGGAGGCAGCAGUGAGGAAUAUUGGACAAUGGGCGAAAGCCUGAUCCAGCCAUGCCGCGUGAACGAUGAAGGCCUUCGGGUUGUAAAGUUCUUUUAGAUGUGAAGAUAAUGACGAUAGCAUCAGAAAAAGCCCCGGCUAAAUUCGUGCCAGCCGCCGCCGUGA